CGGAGGGAGAUAAUCGGAGCACCAACCUGCUGGCUGCAGAGACUGCAAGUCUGGAAGAGCAGCUGCAAGGAUGGGGAGAAGUGAUGCUGAUGGCUGAUAAAGUCCUCAGAUGGGAAAGAGCCUGGUUUCCACCUGCCGUCAUGGGUGUGGUUUCUUUGGUGUUUCUGACUAUCUACUAUCUAGAUCCAUCUGUUCUGUCCGGUGUUUCCUGUUUUGUUAUGUUUUUGUGCUUGGCUGACUACCUUGUUCCCAUUCUAGCUCCUAGAAUUUUUGGCUCCAAUAAAUGGACCACUGAGCAACAGCAAAGAUUCCAUGAAAUUUGUAGCAAUCUGGUAAAAACUCGACGCAGAGCUGUGGGCUGGUGGAAACGCCUCUUUACACUAAAGGAAGAAAAGCCUAAAAUGUACUUCAUGACCAUGAUCGUUUCUCUUGCUGCGGUUGCUUGGGUGGGACAGCAAGUCCACAACCUGCUGCUCACCUACCUGAUAGUGACUUUCUUACUGUUGCUUCCUGGAUUAAACCAGCAUGGAAUCAUUUUGAAGUACAUUGGAAUGGCCAAAAGGGAGAUAAAUAAGCUCCUCAAACAAAAAGAAAAGAAAAAUGAAUAAUGCAUCUGCUUUAUUCAGUGUAAUGAAUGGCAUAUACAUUGUCCUUGGGAACAGUUUCUGUUAUGCUGUCUGGAUACUAAAAUGUUACAGAAGUAGCUCUUUGCUCUCCCUCUUUUGCCCUUAGUGCACAGAAAUUCAGACUUGCCAAGUAAGGCUUUAUGCAUAGUGUCUUCAUGUGAAGUGUAGCUGGAUGCAUUCUCAUCAGUUGGCCUAUAUGGACAACUCAUUCGUGAGUACGACUUGUUUUGAUUUUUCUCCACCCAGGUUAAUUGCAUUCUUACUUUUAGGCAACUUCCUUUAAAAUAAUAUAGUGGUGAACUUCACCUUUUAGUACAGUUAACUGUGACUUUGGAUAAUUAAUUGUUCCAGUUGAUCUUUGCUUUAGCUAGAUACAAGUUAGUGGUCUGUGGCUACAGGAAGCUGGUUCUACUGUCUGCUUCCACAGUCUGCUUAAACUGCCUGGCUUCAUGAAUACAGAGACCAAGUUGACCACUUCCAAUGAAGAGACCAAUUAAGAUUCAUUCCUCAUGCUGUUUCUAUACAAUGGGAGAAGAAUCCUCUGGAAUAAAAUGAAACCAAUUCCA